AGAAAGGGAGACAAUGUUUCAGGUUGGUGAAGUUGUUUCACCUGGAGUAAAGUGACUGGUGUCUUCAUCAGUGGGAAGGUGCGGGUGAAAGAGCAGGUUGUUGUCUCCUAUGCUUGCAUGACUCUUGGAUUUCUGCCUCAAUCAUCCUCCAGCAGUGACUUCCAGACCCCUACCACCUUGUAGUUGUUCAAGCAGAAGGAGCAAGGGCCAAAUUUGUGUGGAUGGUGAUAUGGGCUUGUGGAGAGUACUAGAGUUACCUAACUGACUCAAACUCUACAUCCUGGAUCAAUGGAGAGCAGAUUGAAAGUGAUCAAGGACAUUAAGGAAUCAGCAAAAUAUGACUUUUGAGAUGUUUAAUGACCAGAGACACCUGAAUAGUGUGAAAGAGACGAUCAGUGAUGAAACUGUUCUGCUAAAAAUUCUACUUGUUAUGGAGGCUUUUAUUCAUACUUAUUUCCACCAUUUUAUGUAGC